rnacentral:rRNA from 1 species
UACGAAGGGGGCAAGCGUUGUUCGGAAUUACUGGGCGUAAAGGGCGCGUAGGCGGCUUUGUAAGUUAGAGGUGAAAGCCCGGGGCUCAACUCCGGAAUUGCCUUUAAGACUGCAUCGCUAGAAUUGUGGAGAGGUAAGUGGAAUUCCGAGUGUAGAGGUGAAAUUCGUAGAUAUUCGGAAGAACACCAGUGGCGAAGGCGACUUACUGGACACAUAUUGACGCUGAGGUGCGAAAGCGUGGGGAGCAAACAGG